UACGUAGGGGGCAAGCGUUGUCCGGAAUCAUUGGGCGUAAAGAGCGUGUAGGCGGCUCGGUAAGUCCGCUGUGAAAGUCCAGGGCUCAACCCUGGAAUGCCGGUGGAAACUGUCGAGCUAGAGUCCGGAAGAGGCGAGUGGAAUUCCUGGUGUAGCGGUGAAAUGCGUAGAUAUCGGAAGGAACAUCAGUGGCGAAAGCGACUUCCUGGACCAAUACUGACGCUCAUGUGCGAAAGCGUGGGGAGCAAACAGG
rnacentral:rRNA from 1 species